rnacentral:rRNA from 1 species
GAUGAACGCUGGCGGCGUGCCUAAUACAUGCAAGUCGAGCGAACAGACGAGGAGCUUGCUCCGCUGUCGUGAGCGGCGGACGGGUGAGUAACACGUGGAUAACCUACCUAUAAGACGGGGAUAACUUCGGGAAACCGGAUCUAAUAGCGGAGAAUAUAUUGAACCGCAUGGGGGAAUAGUGAAAGACGGUGUUGCUGUCAGUUAUAGAUGGAUCCGCGCCGCAUUAGCUAGUUGGUAAGGUAACGGGUUAUCAAGGCGACGAUGCGUAGGCGACCUGAGAGGGGGGUCGCCCGCCCUGGAGCGUGACCAGCGUCCUGACUCCUGCGGGACGCAGCAGUAGCCAAUCGUCCGCAAUAGGCGGGAGCAUGGCGGAGUAGCCCCAAGUGAGUUGUGAAGGUCUUCGGAUCGUAAAGCUCUCUUAUUGGGGGAGAACAACUGUCUACGUAACUAUACCCGUCUUGACGGUACCUAAUCAGAAAGCCCCGGCUAACUACGUG